UACAGAGGUGGCAAGCGUUGUUCGGAAUUACUGGGCGUAAAGGGCGCGUAGGCGGUCCCGUCAGUCCCUUGUGAAAUCCCCCGGCUCAACUGGGGAACUGCAAGGGAUACAGCGGGGCUUGAGUCCGGGAGAGGGAAGCGGAAUUCCGGGUGUAGCGGUGAAAUGCGUAGAUAUCCGGAGGAACACCGGUGGCGAAGGCGGCUUCCUGGACCGAUACUGACGCUGAGGCGCGAAAGCUAGGGGAGCAAACGGG
rnacentral:rRNA from 1 species